rnacentral:rRNA from 1 species
CAGCAGCCGCGGUAAUACGAAGGGGGCUAGCGUUGCUCGGAAUGACUGGGCGUAAAGGGCGCGUAGGCGGCGGCCGAAGUCAGGCGUGAAAUUCCCGGGCUCAACCUGGGGGCUGCGUUUGAUACUUGAUUGCUAGAGUGGGGAAGAGGGUCGUGGAAUUCCCAGUGUAGAGGUGAAAUUCGUAGAUAUUGGGAAGAACACCGGUGGCGAAGGCGGCGACCUGGUCCUUGACUGACGCUGAGGCGCGAAAGCGUGGGGAGCAAACAGGAUUAGAGACCCGAGUAGUCCCUGUCUCUUAUAA